rnacentral:sRNA from 1 species
GCGCUGGCGCGUCGAGGGCACCAGAUCACGGUCGUGACCGCGCCGCCCUACUAUCCAGCUUGGGAAGUGGGAGCGGGCUAUUCCGGAGCGACUGGGUCACGAGAGGCGCCUCAACGGCGUGACGGUCCACCGUAGCCCCCUUCAUGUCCCGCGCCGACCCGGCGGUCUUCGUCGUGUCGCUGGCGUCAUUUGGUUUGAGCGCUACGCCCGCAGCGAUCGGAGUGGCGCGCCGGCUUCGCCCUGAUAUCGUAUUUGCUGUUGCAGCCACCCUGACGGCCGCCGGCGCGGCUUUGGCGGCGGCCCGGGUUUCUGGAGCAGCGUCGUGGCUGCAUACUCAGGACUUUGAGGUCGACUCUGGCCGAUCGACGAUGUGGCUAAGUGAUUGCAACAAUGAUGGAGGCCCGGGCCGGAAUCGAACCGGCGUGCA